AUCAGCUGCAGCGUGAAGAACCACGUCAGUCACGCACAGAACACCAUUAGACUCAAACCCUGUGCUGUGUGUUCAGUGUCUGUGGUGUUUGUGCUGGUCUGGUGUCUUCAGCUGAUGGUUCUGUUGGGUCUGUUAGGAGGUUUUCACAUCUACAUGAGACACACGUCAGGAAAGAAGCAGGAAGAUCAGAAAGUGAGGAUGAGAAGAUUUAGAGAAGGACCUGAACACACAGCAGAAGAUUCAUGAGAGCAGCAGCAGAUCUUCACAUCUGUGAGAAAUGACUUCAGAAUCUCAGCGAUUCUCACAUCAGUCCAGCUUUCAUCAGGCGACAGCAGGAGAUCUUACAGAAUAAAGCCAGAAGACAUUUUCUGCAGUUUUAGUUAAGAAUCUCUUCUUUGAUUAGAUGAUUUUCUGGACAUUUGUUUUUGCAUCAGUUUAAUGCUUAUUUUAUUCAUUUGUCUUUACGCUUUGAAUGAACCAGCAGUAUUUUACAUCAUUACAUGAAACUCCUUCUGUUCAUCCAGAUUGUGAAGUCAUCCUGUGUGUUUUUCACAUUUUCUGCUCUUGUUAUUUUAUUCAGUUGGUUUUUGUUGAUUUCUCUUCAUAUGCGGCUUCUGUUUAGAUGUUUUAUCUGUUCAAAACUCUUCGUCUUGAUCCAUGCCUCAGUUUUAGGGCGUCUGGUG